GAUGAACGCUGGCGGCGUGCCUAAUACAUGCAAGUCGAGCGAACAGACGAGGAGCUUGCUCCACUGACGUUAGCGGCGGACGGGUGAGUAACACGUGGAUAACCUACCUAUAAGACUGGGAUAACUUCGGGAAACCGGAGCUAAUACCGGAUAAUAUAUUGAACCGCAUGGUUCAAUAGUGAAAGACGGUUUUGCUGUCACUUAUAGAUGGAUCCGCGCCGCAUUAGCUAGUUGGUAAGGUAACGGCUUACCAAGGCAACGAUGCGUAGCCGACCUGAGAGGGUGAUCGGCCACACUGGAGCUGAGACACGGUCCAGACUCCUACGGGAGGCAGCAGUAGGGAAUCUUCGGCAAUGGGCGAAAGCUUGACGGAGCAACGCCGCGUGAGUGAUGAAGGUCUUCGGAUCGGAAAACUCUGUUAUUAGGGAAGAACAAAUGUGUAAGUAACUAUGCACGUCUUGACGGUACCUAAUCAGAAAGCCACGGCUAACUACGUG
rnacentral:rRNA from 1 species